rnacentral:rRNA from 1 species
GUACACACCGCCCGUCAAGCCACGGGAGCUGGUAGUGCCCGAAGUCGCUGACCCAACCCUCGGGAGGGAGGCGCCGACGGUAAGACCGGUGACUGGGACUAAGUCGUAACAAGGUAGCCGUAGGUGAACCUGCAGAAGGAUCA